GCUUUUAUCAAACCAAAAUACGAUAUAUAUAUCCUUAUGAGUGAUUUUAUUAUACUUUUGUGUUUCUAUGGACACUGAAAGCUUAGACGAGCAUCUCAUUUGAAGUGGGUGCAAGAGCUUCUUCGGUCAUAGUUCCUUUGUCUGACAUGUGCUUGUCUUGUCCUGAAACGAAAGGUGCACAAUGGGAACAGCUUGGUGGUUGUUGGUAUAUAGGUGGGCGGUAGUAUGGUACGCUUGGGGUGCAACCACCGGUUUGGCUUCCCCCAGAACCAUAACCAGGAUUAACCCUGACCACUGGAAUCAUAAAACCGGGAAUCUGUGCGCCUGGAACCGUUAUGGGAGGGAUUGAUAUGCUUGGGACAACUACACUUGGUACACUACCACUAGAGUCACCUCCUACGCCGAUACCAAUCCCUUCGCCUGAGCCACUACCUUCUCCAUAGCCACUUCCAUAGCCACCUUCUUCUCCAUAGCCACCGCUUUCUCCAUAGCCACCGCCUUCUCCAUAGCCACCGCCAUUUCCAAAGCCCCUACCUUCACCAUACCCCAUAGGCUUAACUGUUUGGUCAGGAUCUUCUGGUUCACUCGCCAGGGACUGCACUUUAUGAUCAGGCUUUUCUUUGUGAUCGAGCAUAGUUUUAGGAUCAGGUUCUUCUAGCUCACCCCACAUGGUUUGCAGUUCAUGAUCAGGCAUGACCUUGUCCUCAGGCUCUUCUGGUUCACCCGGCAUGGACUGCAGCUUAUGAUCAGGCAUGACCUUGUCCUCAGGCUCUUCUGGUUCCCCGGGCAUGGAUUGCAGUUUAUGAUCAGGCAUGAUCUUGUCCUCAGGCUCCUCUGGUUCACCCGGCAUGGACUGGAGUUUAUCAUCAGGCACGACCUUGUCCUCAGGCUCUUCUGGUUCACCCGGCAUGGACUGCAGCUUAUGGUCAG
rnacentral:lncRNA from 1 species